UGAAAGGCCAACUUACAAAAGCAUAAUAUUAUAACAGGAAAUGAUUAGGUAUCAAGGAAUUCCUUUAGUUACAUAGAGAUUUGUAUAAGUAUAAUAACCAUAUAUGUAAUUCUUCCUGUUUUGAUGUGUAGUCAAAAAGCAAGAAAAUAACAUUCAAAUAUCACAACAUAAAAGAACAGGCUAAAUUUAUGUGCAACAGCUAUCCAUUGGUGAUCAAUACCUCACACUUA
rnacentral:misc_RNA from 1 species